GACUGAUUCAUUGAGAAGGAAAACCACCAGCUUAUCACGGGGCCAUGGAGCUUUGGAAUGGAUUGUAUUUAGUUGUAGUGAGUGAAUACGUCCAGAGCUCCAGAGCACAUAGGAAGCAGAAGAAAGGGGAUGAGAGACCUUGGAAUUCAGUUUCCUUCCAAAUUUCAAAUGGAUCUGAACAGCAGCCGGGGUACAAAACCGGAUCCUGUAGAAACUAACGUGAGGUUGCCACUCUGUUAGUCUCCGUAUUACUGGGAAUUGCAAGGAUUGAGAAAACAUUGAAGAGCCAAAUAUUUGACACAUUGUUUUUCUAUAGCAUCAAAUAGGGAGGAGUGGAGGGUUUUAAGGGAGAUCAGGGGAAUGGGGAAAAAAUAAGAACCAA
rnacentral:lncRNA from 1 species